AGACACACACACACACACACACACACACACACACACACACACACACACACACACACACACACACACACACACACACACAGAGACAGAGAGAGAGAGAGACGCAAUAAACAAACAGCUCAAACAUCAAAGACAAAGCGCGCCCGCCCGACUGACUGACUGAGCGGCGACAUCAAAGACUCCGUGUGUGAAAGUAUCGAGCACGUGUUACAUUGAGCUCUCAAACACAGACGCGCGAGAAACUCCAGAAGAUUCUCUCAAACUCACCGUGAAAGAGCUGUGAACACGACCCGCUGCAGCAUCUCAUGAAGAACUGAGAAUCACAGACGGACGGAUGGCCUUCAGGAAGCUGGCUUUGGGCAGAUGUUCAGGAGUUGGUCAGCAGACCCAGACCGGGCACGGACGCAUGGAGACGGUGUUGACCGGUGCAGCAGGACUCCAGAACCUUCUUCUGACAGACAGCCGCCGAGACGGAAGAAGCUCAAACACUGAUCUCGUUCUAACACGAGGAGAAUCAGUCACACAUGUUCCUGCGGUUCUCUCAACCUUGUGAACAAACGUCCUUCCAGAAACAUUAAUAGAACAUUUGUUCAAAGUUAUCUGCUCUUUAAUAAUA